AUUCUGUCAGAAUUUUUCAAGCAUCUGCCAUAUGUGAGAAGAUGCUGGGGAGUGUUCUGGGAAUGUGUGGUGAACAAGACACGAAGCCCUGACUUCCGUGGCACUUCCAUUCUUACAAGCCCAUCCAGAUUUUAUGUUUUAGAGGAGUUUUAAGUUUACAGCGGAAUGGAGUGGAAACUACAAAGUGAUCCUGUGAAGGCCGCCGCCUCCCGCAAGUCCCAGGGCCCUCAUCACCAACGUCCGCACCAGAGCAGCCCGAUUGUCAUCGCCGUGGACCUGCACGGACACAUGGGGGCCACAGGCGGCCUCGAGGUGCGCAGUGAUCCACUCGCUCUACGGCUUUGGAUGAUCACCCAGCACGAUAGCAUCGAACUGCCGUAAAGAUCCUCCUGUCGUGCUUAGCCUGAGACAAAGUGGCUGUGUGGCUGGGCAUCGCCACCAACGCUGGAAGCUGUGCAGCUCCCGCACACCCUGCAAACACUGGAGACGGGUUUCAAGUCACUGAGCCCUUCCCGGGGCCCAAGACGGGGUGAAGAGCAUUAACUGACUCUGCGCCCCUGCUGAGGGGCAGAUGCAAACAGCGACCCACAAGGGAGCUCCUUGGCUUGCAUCCUGGAGGACGGGAGGACGGCGGGUGGCCAGGACCAGCCACGGGCGCCCCCGGCCUGGCACCCACUCUGUGCCGCCAUAUGGGGCUGUGAAACCGGGAAGCCGUGUGGGGUGGAAGGGGCCCUCGCCUUCCAGGCUUCCCAAGGACGAGGAUGAAGACAGGGCCCGCUGCCCGCUGGCUGGGAGCAGUAGGUGCCGGCGGAAAGGCCAGGAC
rnacentral:lncRNA from 1 species